GAAAUGCGAUAACUAGUGUGAAUUGCAGAAUUCCGUGAAUCAUCGAGUCUUUGAACGCACAUUGCGCCCCCUGGUAUUCCGGGGGGCAUGCCUGUCCGAGCGUCAUUGCUGCCCAUCAAGCACGGCUUGUGUGUUGGGUCGUCGUCCCCUCUCCGGGGGGGACGGGCCCCAAAGGCAGCGGCGGCACCGCGUCCGAUCCUCGAGCGUAUGGGGCUUUGUCACCCGCUCUGUAGGCCCGGCCGGCGCUUGCCGAACGCAAAUCAAUCUUUUUGAGUGGCAUCUUAGACCAAAAAACCGUCCUCGACUCAGGCGGGACUACCCGCUGAACUUAAGC
rnacentral:misc_RNA from 1 species